rnacentral:rRNA from 1 species
AUCUGGGCGGCGGAAUUCAGAGUUGGCUGGUGUUUACGCGCCGGGGCAGUUUGAUAUUUCCGUCGCCGCGCAGACGUCGCGACCUGUUUGGUGUCGGUCCCUGCUCGGAGGAAUCGCGAACGAGUUUGCUGCGGGGCAUGUUUCGGCGUGCUUUCGUGGCGAAGUCGCGAACUUCUGGCCGGCUUGCCGAACAGUAAGCGGAACGGUGGCCGGCGUUGUUGCUUCGGCAUACGCGACGUCGGUACCGGUCGGCGACGAUUUCUUCGGGCCUCUUUCCGACCCGUCUUGAAACACGGACCAAGGAGUCUAGCGUGCGCGCGAGUCGCGGGGUGUCGAGUGCGCUUCGGCGCGCUCGUUACUUAGCGAAACCCGUACUUUGAAGGCGCAAUGAAAGUGAAUGGGGAAGAUGGCGUUUCGAGAACACGUACCGCGGCCAUUGGUGCCGCGGCCGAUCGCCCGCAUUCCCGGGGCGUCUCAACGGCCCGUCGCGGAUGCCAGGAGGUCGCCUUCCGGGGUGGCCGACGGUCUGCGACGAACCGAGGCGCACCUAUAGCGUGCACGCUGGUACCCGAAAGAUGGUGAACUAUGCCCGGCCAGGAUGAAGUCAGGGGAAACCCUGAUGGAGGUCCGCAGCGAUUCUGACGUGCAAAUCGAUCGUCGAGC